AAGAAUAUUUGACUCAGAUUCUUUUUCAAAUUUUAAAAGACAAACCCUACACUUCCGAAAGCUUCUCUCUCGCGCCUCCUUCAAACUCAAAUUUUACUUCGUUUUUCAACUUUUUGCAUCUCUCGCUCUGUGUCUCCCUUCCUCUCUCGUCGCAUCUCUCUUUCUCUGUCUCUCCCUCAUCAUCUUUGUUCAUCUCUCCGUAUUCACAGGGAUGUGUGUUUGUUGUUGUUCUUCUUUGUCGUCCUUCACCGCGGACAGUCAUUGCUCACGGUGGAUUGGUGAUGUUCGUUGUU
rnacentral:lncRNA from 1 species